AUUGAACGCUGGCGGCAUGCCUUACACAUGCAAGUCGAACGGUAACGCGGGGCAACCUGGCGACGAGUGGCGAACGGGUGAGUAAUGCAUCGGAACGUGCCCAGUAUGGGGGAUAGCCCGGCGAAAGCCGGAUUAAUACCGCAUACGACCUACGGGUGAAAGCGGGGGACCUAAGGGCCUCGCGGCUAUUGGAGCGGCCGAUGUCAGAUUAGGAGUUGGUGGGGUAAAGGCCUACCAAGCCUUCGAUCUGUAGCUGGUCUGAGAGGACGACCAGCCACACUGGGACUGAGACACGGCCCAGACUCCUACGGGAGGCAGCAGUGGGGAAUUUUGGACAAUGGGCGCAAGCCUGAUCCAGCCAUG
rnacentral:rRNA from 1 species